rnacentral:rRNA from 1 species
AGCUCUCGCUAUUAGAUGAGCCUAAGUCGGAUUAGCUGGUUGGUGGGGUAAAGGCCUACCAAGGCGACGAUCUGUAGCUGGUCUGAGAGGAUGAUCAGCCACACUGGGACUGAGACACGGCCCAGACUCCUACGGGAGGCAGCAGUGGGGAAUAUUGGACAAUGGGCGAAAGCCUGAUCCAGCCAUGCCGCGUGUGUGAAGAAGGCCUUUUGGUUGUAAAGCACUUUAAGUGGGGAGGAAAAGCUUAUGGUUAAUACCCAUAAGCCCUGACGUUACCCACAGAAUAAGCACCGGCUAACUCUGUGCCAGCAGCCGCGGUAAUACAGAGGGUGCAAGCGUUAAUCGGAAUUACUGGGCGUAAAGCGCGCGUAGGUGGUUAUUUAAGUCAGAUGUGAAAGCCCCGGGCUUAACCUGGGAACUGCAUCUGAUACUGGAUAACUAGAGUAGGUGAGAGGGGAGUAGAAUUCCAGGUGUAGCGGUGAAAUGCGUAGAGAUCUGGAGGAAUACCGAUGGCGAA